rnacentral:tRNA from 1 species
AUUUAAAUAGCUUAAUUUGAGAGUAUUAUAUUGAAGAUAUAAAGGUAAAUUUAUUUUUUUAAAUA